UGUUUUUAAUUUUUUUUUUCUUCCGCCAAAUUUUGUUCUUGCGAUAAACAUUUGUUUCGCAAUAUGUCGCUUAGAUAUUUCUCAUAUUGUAUCGUAUAGUUUAUGUGCUUCUAAAUUUCACUCUGCUUACCCGAACCUUUUUCUUCAUAAGAGUUAUCUCCCUUUUCACUGUUUAUAAUCAGAGUGCAUCUCCUCCGUAACAAAAAAAGUUAUCGUUAAAAUUUC
rnacentral:lncRNA from 1 species